rnacentral:rRNA from 1 species
AUGCAGUCGAGGGGUAUCCUAGCAAUAGGAGAGACCGGCGCACGGGUGCGUCACGUGUAUGCAAUCUACCUUAUACAGGGGGAUAGCCCAGAGAAAUUUGGAUUAAUACCCCAUAGUAUAAUUGAAUGGCAUCAUUUAAUUAUUAAAGUUCCAACGGUAUAAGAUGAGCAUGCGUAUCAUUAGCUAGAUGGUAAGGUAACGGCUUACCAUGGCUACGAUGAUUAGGGGUCCUGAGAGGGAGAUCCCCCACACUGGUACUGAGACACGGACCAGACUCCUACGGGAGGCAGCAGUGAGGAAUAUUGGUCAAUGGGCGCAAGCCUGAACCAGCCAUGCCGCGUGCAGGAAGACGCAUCUAUGGUGUGUAAACUGCUUUUAUACAGGAAGAAACCCUAUCUCGUGAGGUAGAUUGACGGUACCGUAGGAGUAAGGAUCGGCUAACUCCGUGCCAGCAGCCGCGGUAAUACGGAGGAUCCAAGCGUUAUCCGGAAUCAUUGGGUUUAAAGGGUCCGUAGGCGGUUUAAUAAGUCAGUGGUGAAAUCCCAUCGCUCAACGGUGGAACGGCCAUUGAUACUGUUAGACUUGAAUUAUUUGGAAGUAACUAGAAUAUGUAGUGUAGCGGUGAAAUGCUUAGAGAUUACAUGGAAUACCAAUUGCGAAGGCAGGUUACUACAAAUGGAUUGACGCUGAUGGACGAAAGCGUGGGUAGCGAACAGGAUUAGAUACCCUGGUAGUCCACGCCGUAAACGAUGGAUACUAGCUGUUGGGAGCAAUUUCAGUGGUUAAGCGA